rnacentral:rRNA from 1 species
UACGUAGGGUGCGAGCGUUAAUCGGAAUUACUGGGCGUAAAGCGUGCGCAGGCGGUUCGUUGUGUCGGUGGUGAAAGCCCCGGGCUUAACCUGGGAAUGGCCAUGGAAACUGGCGAACUGGAGUGUGGCAGAGGGGGGUGGAAUUCCGCGUGUAGCAGUGAAAUGCGUAGAGAUGCGGAGGAACACCGAUGGCGAAGGCAGCCCCCUGGGCUAGCACUGACGCUGAGGCUCGAAAGCGUGGGGAUCAAACAGG